rnacentral:rRNA from 1 species
AGAGUUUGAUCCUGGCUCAGGACGAACGCUGGCGGCGUGGAUAAGGCAUGCAAGUCGAACGCGAACGGAACAACUAAUUCGUUAGGAGUUCUUAGUAGAGUGGCGAACGGGUGAGUAACGCGUGAACAACAUACCUUUCAGAGGGGGAUAACACAGGGAAACCUGUGCUAAUACCGCAUACAUCAACAUAACGAUAUUAUAUUGAUAAAAGGUGGGGACCUUCGGGCCUGCCACUGAGAGAUUGGUUCGCGUCCCAUUAGCUAGUUGGUAGGGUAACGGCCUACCAAGGCGACGGUGGGUAGCCGGCCUGAGAGGGCGACCGGCCACACUGGGAUUGAGAUACGGCCCAGACUCCUUCGGGAGGCAGCAGUCGAGAAUCUUCCACAAUGGACGAAAGUCUGAUGGAGCGACGCCGCGUGAGGGAUUAAGGCUUUCUGAGUCGUAAACCUCUGUCGGGAGAGAAGAACAGUAGAUAUAUAAAUAGUAUGUUUACCUGACGUUAUCUCCAAAGGAAGCUCCGGCUAACUCCCGUGCCAGCAGC